GCGCUGAAAGCAUCUAAGCGCGAAACUUGCCCCGAGAUGAGUCAUCCCUGAGGCUUUGAGCCUCCUAAAGGGUUGUUGGAGACUACGACGUAGAUAGGCAGGGUGUGUAAGCGUAGCGAUACGUUGAGCUAACCUGUACUAAUUGCCCGUGAGGCUUAACCAUACAACGCCAAAG
rnacentral:rRNA from 1 species